UACGAGGGGGGCGAGCGUUGUUCGGAAUUAUUGGGCGUAAAGGGUGCGUAGGCGGUUUGGUAAGUCUGAUGUGAAAUCUAUGGGCUCAACUCAUAGUCUGCAUCGGAAACUGCCGGGCUUGAGUAUGGGAGAGGUGAGUGGAAUUCCUGGUGUAGCGGUGAAAUGCGUAGAUAUCAGGAGGAACACCGGUGGCGAAGGCGGGACUCUGGGCCGAUACUGACGCUGAGGAGCGAAAGCGUGGGGAGCGAACAGG
rnacentral:rRNA from 1 species